rnacentral:lncRNA from 1 species
GUGAGAGAUGCAGAGAGAGAGAGAGAGUGAGUGAGAGAUGCAGAGAGAGAGAAUGCGAGAGAGAGAGAGAGAGUGAGUGAGAGAUGCAGAGAGAGAGAGAGAGAGGGUGAGAGAUGCAGAGAGAGAGAGAGUGAGUGAGAGAUGCAGAGAGAGAGAGAGAGUGAGUGAGAGAUGCAGAGAGAGAGAGAGUGAGUGAGAGAUGCAGAGAGAGAGAGAGUGAGUGAGAGAUGCAGAGAGAGAGAGAGUGAGUGAGAGAUGCAGAGAGAGAGAGUGAGUGAGAGAUGCAGAGAGAGAGAGAGAGUGAGUGAGAGAUGCAGAGAGAGAGAGAGAGAGUGAGUGAGAGAUGCAGAGAGAGAGAGAGAGAGAGUGAGUGAGAGAUGCAGAGAGAGAGAGAGAGAGUGAGUGAGAGAUGCAGAGAGAGAGAGAGAGUGAGUGAGAGAUGCAGAGAGAGAGAGAGAGUGAGUGAGAGAUGCAGAGAGAGAGAGAGAGUGAGUGAGAGAUGCAGAGAGAGAGAGAGUGAGUGAGAGAUGCAGAGAGAGAGAGAGAGUGAGUGAGAGAUGCAGAGAGAGAGAGAGUGAGUGAGAGAUGCAGAGAGAGAGAGAGUGAGUGAGAGAUGCAGAGAGAGAGAGUGAGUGAGAGA